rnacentral:snRNA from 1 species
GUCGUUUUGGCAGCACAUAUACUAAAAUUGGAAUAAUACAGAGAAGAGUAGUAUGGCUCCUGUGCAAGGACGACAUACAGAUUCAUAAAACGUUCCAUAUUUGU